rnacentral:misc_RNA from 1 species
GCCGACUACCGACGCCGUGUCCCGUCAUUCGUGUGGCCUAUGCCACUGUUGCCUUUCGAAGUGCUUGCGUGCCGGUAUCCGACCUACGGGAAUUAGUGCUUUGUACACGGUUGCCUCGCGGUGGACUCCUUCGGGUAAUCCGCUGCGGCCAAGUGGCUCUUGCGUCGUUGCCUCGUGGUGCUAGCACGUUUACGUGUCUGGUGCUUUCAAGGCAGCCUCGCUUGAGCUGUUGGUUUUGGAUGUUGCUCACGAUAAAGGCUCAUGGCCCUUUUGGUUGCCUAGACCCGACCCUACAAAGCUCCCUGAAACCGAACGUGUCGUAGAACUGUGUUGCCUCUGCCUCUCCACGUUAAGUGGUAGGAUACGCAACAGCCUGGACCGAUGCUAGUAGACGUACGGGAGCCUGGCCCGCUCAGUUGCGACAACCGGCCCGGCUGUUAUCUGCCCGUAUAGGCGGAUGACUUCCGACGCUGGACGUCAAAGAGGACGUGCUACCUGGUUGAUCCUGCCAGUAGUC